rnacentral:rRNA from 1 species
AAUAGAUACCCCGGUAGUCCACGCCGUAAACGAUGAGUGCUAAGUGUUAGAGGGUUUCCGCCCUUUAGUGCUGCAGCUAACGCAUUAAGCACUCCGCCUGGGGAGUACGGCCGCAAGGCUGAAACUCAAAGGAAUUGACGGGGGCCCGCACAAGCGGUGGAGCAUGUGGUUUAAUUCGAAGCAACGCGAAGAACCUUACCAGGUCUUGACAUCCUCUGCCAACCCUAGAGAUAGGGCGUUCCCCUUCGGGGGACAGAGUGACAGGUGGUGCAUGGUUGUCGUCAGCUCGUGUCGUGAGAUGUUGGGUUAAGUCCCGCAACGAGCGCAACCCUUGAUCUUAGUUGCCAGCAUUCAGUUGGGCACUCUGAGGUGACUGCCGGUGACAAACCGGAGGAAGGUGGGGAUGACGUCAAAUCAUCAUGCCCCUUAUGACCUGGGCUACACACGUGCUACAAUGGAUGGUACAAAGAGUUGCGAACCCGCGAGGGUAAGCCAAUCUCAUAAAGCCAUUCUCAGUUCGGAUUGUAGG